AGUAGCGGUGAAAUGCGUAGAUAUCUGGAGGAAUACCAAAGGCGAAGGCAGUCCCCUGGUCCGAUACUGACACUGAGGUACGAAAGCGUGGGGAGCAAACAGGAUUAGAUACCCUGGUAGUCCACGCCCUAAACGAUGUCGAUUAGCCAUUGGAAGGACCCCUUUUCCUUUCAGUGACGUAGCUAACGCGUUAAAUCGACCGCCUGGGAAGUACGACCGCAAGGUUAAAACUCAAAGGAAUUGACGGGGACCUGAACAAGCGGUGAAUGAUGUGGAUUAAUUCGAUGCUACGCGAAGAACCUUUACCUACCUUUGACAUGGCCAAAGUUCUACCGAGAGGCGGAAGUACUCGUAAGAGGAUUGGCGCACAGGUGCUGCAUGGUUGUCGUCAGUUUGUGUCGUGAGAUGUUGGGUUCAGUCCCGCAACGAACGCAACCCUUAUCUUUAAUUGCUCCUAUUUUAACAGGCACUUUAAAGAAACUGCCAAUGAUAAGUUGGAGGAAGGUGGGGAUCACGUCAAGUCCGCAUGGCCUUUAUAGGUAGGGCUUCACACGUCAUACAAUGGUUAGAACAAAGAGCUGCAAAUUCGUAAGAAGGAGCCAAUCUCACAAACCUAACCUCAGUUCGAAUUGCGGUCUGCAACUCGAGCGCAUGAAGCCGGAAUCGCUAGUAAUCGUGGAUCAGAAUGCCA
rnacentral:rRNA from 1 species